rnacentral:rRNA from 1 species
UACGUAGGGUGCAAGCGUUAAUCGGAAUGACUGGGCGUAAAGCGUGCGCAGGCGGCUUUGCAAGACAGAUGUGAAAUCCCCGGGCUCAACCUGGGAACUGCAUUUGUGACUGCAUGGCUAGAGUACGGUAGGGGGGGAUGGAAUUCCGCGUGUAGCAGUGAAAUGCGUAGAUAUGCGGAGGAACACCGAUGGCGAAGGCAAUCCCCUGGACCUGUACUGACGCUCAUGCACGAAAGCGUGGGGAGCAAACAGG